AAGCACAAUUAUAAUGAAGAUCAUUUUUGCAAAACUUAUUCAGCUGUCUCCCAGGCCUUCCUAAGUUUUUGCAUGUAAAUGGCUAAGGAUGUACCUCUUGUGCCACCACUUCUGGUCCAUUUUCCACGGCUAACAGUACAACUCACCUCACCCUCAUUUGUCAGAGUCUAUGAUUCUAGCAAAGUCCUCAACACAUUUUCAUGGACUUGAUGAAAUUCUGCAUUUUUCCAGAUAUUUAAAAUUUCAAUUUGCAAUGACUUGGCCUUGUAUUUCCAGAUAUUUACAAUAUCUGAUCAUCUGCAAGAGGCUAAUCUACAAACGUAUAAUGCAAGAAAGACUAUUUGAAUAGGGACUAAUAUUGUAAGUAGUAGGUUCAUUAGUGAAUUACUUCAUGAUUGUUUCCGUACCAUGAAAGAUGAGCUCUGACUGUUCUUUUUUUGAUCUAACCCGAAUAACCUAAACUUGAGGAAAUUUGCUGCUGGGAGUGAGUGCAGGUGGGUCUAAGCUCUGUGCAAGGGAAAAGGUUUCUCUGAAGUGGUGUGGAGCCAUGCUGUGUGAGGCUGGAAAGAAGAACUGCUCUCCAGGGGACAUUGGUCUGAGAAUCAAGAAUGCAGGAGUUGGUGUGCCAUAUAGGGAACUCAGUUGAGAGUUUAAUAGUGGAAUGACUUUUCCUUAGGCAAUGGGAACGUCAGGUUUGGUGAGUGUUAAUAAUUCCUUUCUUUCACACAUUUUUGUUUAUGUUAAAUAAAGUUUCUGCAUGGUCUACAUUUGGGGAAGUGCAGUGUUUUAAAGAAUGGACAGCUCUGCAAGACUGCAAAAGACACUCAAGAGAGGAAUCACUAUUUUUUCAACCCUGGGAAUAAGAAGACAUGUGACAACUUUUCUAAACUCAUCCUUUCAUCUCUUGACCAGCCUGUGUUCAGUUUAAAGCAUAGCAAUAGAAUUUCACAAGAAGCCACACCCAAAGUAAUUGACUUAUUGUGUGAAAUCCUAACUGUAGUAUAUAGAUUUUAUUUAACAGCUAUGAAAGAAAAGGUACAACAUUGAAAAUGGUUGCCAAGU